AAUAGCCUAACGGCUGAACCAGCAACUUGGAGGAAUGAAUAGCGAUAGCUAAUUGCAUAUAUGUAUGAUGCAAUAUCGACUCAGUCGAAUAAAAUUCUGGCUAGGAUUAUGAUAAUGACAUUGUCUAGCUAUGUGUCUUGACCAAAUUACGUGCCAGCAGUCGCGGUAAUACGUAAAAGACUAGUGUUAUUCAUCUUUAAUAGGUUUAAAGGGUACCCAGACGGUAAAUCAAGCCCUGGACGGGACUAAUUUGCUAGAGUUACUUGCACGGGGGUUAUAAAGUACUAAUGGUGUAGAGAUAAAAUUUUGUAAUACCAUUUUUCGAAAGAAAAGUUAUGGCACUGGUAAAGGCGAAAGCAUCCCCUUAUGUGAUAACUGACGUUGAAGGACGAAGGCUUUGGAUCGCAAACAGGAUUAGGUACCCUAGUAGUCUAAGCAGAGAAUUAUGAGUGUCAUAGAUUAGAAAUUAAUUUUAUUCUAUAAAUGAAAGUGUAAGCACUCCACCUCAAGAGUAAUUUGGCAACAUUGGAACUGAAAUCAUUAGACCGUUUCUGAANNNNNNNNNNNNNNNNNNNNNNUAAUUUGAUAAUCCUCAAAAAACCUUACCACAGCUUGAAUAUUUAUAUUUUUGAUAUAUUUACAUGAGUUGCACGGCUGUCUUCAGUUAAUGUCGUGAGAUUUUGGUUAGAUCCAUUAAAUUAACGUAAGCCCUUACUCUAUUUAGAUGUUUUUUUAAUUAAAAAAGCAAUAAAUAAAGUAGUUCUCCACUAUAUUGGAUAAGAUAACAGGGAUUAAGACAAGUCAUCAUGGCCUGAAUGCUGU
rnacentral:rRNA from 1 species